rnacentral:rRNA from 1 species
AGAGUUUGAUCCUGGCUCAGGACAAACGCUGGCGGAAUGUAUUAGGCAUGCAAGUCGCACGAGCCUUCGGGCUAGUGGCGGACGGGUGAGUAACACGUGGGUAACCUGCCUCGUAGUGGGGAAUAACUCGCCGAAAGGCGAGCUAAUACCGCAUAACACCUCCGGUGAGAGACCGGGUGGUAAAAGCUCCGGCGCUAUGAGAGGGGCCCGCGGCCGAUUAGCUAGUUGGUGGGGUAAUGGCCUACCAAGGCGACGAUCGGUAGCUGGUCUGAGAGGAUGGUCAGCCACACUGGGACUGAGACACGGCCCAGACUCCUACGGGAGGCAGCAGUGGGGAAUCUUGCGCAAUGGGCGAAAGCCUGACGCAGCGACGCCGCGUGCGGGAAGAAGGCCUUCGGGUUGUAAACCGCUUUCAGGAGGGACGAAGCCACUCGGGUUAAUAGCCCAGAGGGUGACGGUACCUCCAGAAGAAGCCCCGGCUAACUACGUGCCAGCCGCCGCGGUAAUAC